rnacentral:rRNA from 1 species
AAUGAACGCUGGCGGCAGGCCUAAAACAUGCAAGUCGAACGCCCUAGCAAUAGGGAGUGGCGCACGGGUGAGUAACAUGUGGGAAUAUGCCUUUUGGUACGGAACAACGUUUGGAAACGAACGCUAAUACCGUAUGGUCCCUCCGGGGUAAAGAUUUAUCGCCAAAAGAUUAGCCCGCACUAGAUUAGCUAGUUGGUAAGGUAAUGGCUUACCAAGGCGACGAUCUAUAGCUGUUCUGAGAGGAAGAUCAGCCACACUGGGACUGAGACACGGCCCAGGCUCCUACGGGAGGCAGCAGUUAGGAAUAUUGGACAAUGGGCGCAAGCCUGAUCCAGCCAUGCCGCGUGAGUGAUGAAGGCCUUCGGGUUGUAAAGCUCUUUAGCCGACGAAUUUAAUGACUGUAGUCGGAGAAUAAGCCCCGGCUAACUUCGUGCCAGCCGCCGCAGUAACAC